UUUCGCUUCCGCCAUAACCAGUUUGAGCUAUCGACUGAGAAUGCAAUCGCCUAACAACUUUUAAUACUAAAUCAAGCACCAUACUCACACAAACGGUGAGAAAAUAACAAAACUCACACAAACGGUGAGACAACAAGAAAACUAAAAUCAAUCGUGACAAACUAGCAACCAUAGACUUGCAAUUACGAAAAUAAAAUACCAGCUAAACCAAGGCAAUCCUUAGAUCUGGGGAACAAACCCACAAAAAAAGAUAACUCAGGGCUCUUUCGAGAAUAAAAUCACCAAGAAGAACGAGAAAUCCGUAACUCCGUGGAAUUGAGAUCUCAGAAAAAAAUGCCAGAUCGGAAAAAACUUUAAAUCCUUAGAUCCGAAGAAACAAACUAAAGUCAAAAACUUAAGGAAAAAAAGUUAAUCUUACCCAAUAAGAAAGAUUUUAGGAGGAUCAAUAAGUUUUAUUGAAAGAAUGAAAACAGUAAAAUAAAAGGUUUUGGGGUUUUCCACCGGUAGAAAUCCGGUGGAAGCCCCGACACUGCUGAGAAGAAAGAAGAGCGGCUCUGAAAUUGGGUUUGAGGAGAGAAGACGGCUUGAUUGUUAUUACGUUCUGAUUACUAUUUUCUUUGAGCACGAGCUGAGAGUUCAAGUUUGUUAUUUUCGAUUUUUUUUUUUUGGUUUUUUACUACUACUAGAGAACACGACGAUAUCUCCACUAAAUUUAUUUUCC
rnacentral:lncRNA from 1 species